GUCAUCUUCUGAGGAUGAUUCCCCGUAGCCCGGCCAUGACUUCAGCUGAUGACUUUGGGAACAGCAAAAUAGAACUUGUGAAGAUGUAUGUAACAUGGCCACAUGCCCCUGAAGCCAUGGCUUAACUGCCAUGAUGGACUGGAACUUCAAAUUGAGAAACUGCAGCCAGCCUACCCAAGCCGCAAUUGCCCUUCCCGUCAACCCAGGCCAGCCCUCAUGAGCAUGCGCAUGUGCAGUGGGCACUUCCUCCCUGAGCCAAAUCACCAAGCCCGUCUCAAUGCCCAGAGACUGCUGACCGAGAGACUCCUGACCCA